rnacentral:piRNA from 1 species
AGGUAGGCUCUUCAUGGUAUGUAG